rnacentral:SRP_RNA from 1 species
GCCGAGCUCAGUUGCGUGAGCUUGUAACCCAAGUGGGGGCAUUAAAGUGGUGAAGACGUUGCCGUAGUGUUGCGGGCCUGGUUUGGUUGCGCUAUUGCUGGCCCGCUCGUUUCAAGUUGUGUAGUGGACCGCUGGGGCCUAUGCGAAAGAUGGGCCUCAUUGUUCAUAAUGUGGUAGGCAAAGCGUGAGGCUGGCUUCACAGAGCAGCGACAACUGCCCGCUUCCAACGGUGGAAGGAUAACGGGCUGUUGUACUACUGAGCCGCUUGGGCCUUGCAGCCUACUCCAAUGAACCACCAUUUUU